rnacentral:sRNA from 1 species
GAAAUAAUUCAUGGAAGCCAUAGAUUAUUGGAAAUUUACACAUGGCCUGGGCCAACGCUCAGGAUAAAAUUCGAAUGUCAUGGCCCAGGCCAUGUGUAAAUUUCCAAUAAUCUAUGGCUUCUAUGAAUUAUUUC